ncrna:unclassified sequences L19-Flavobacteria ribosomal protein leader
CAACCUCUGGCGAUCACCGUGAAUGUUG